ACAGCAGCCGCCCGGUAAUACAGAGGGUGCGAGCGUUAAUCGGAUUUACUGGGCGUAAAGCGUGCGUAGGCGGCUUCUUAAGUCGGAUGUGAAAUCCCUGAGCUUAACUUAGGAAUUGCAUUCGAUACUGGGAAGCUAGAGUAUGGGAGAGGAUGGUAGAAUUCCAGGUGUAGCGGUGAAAUGCGUAGAGAUCUGGAGGAAUACCGAUGGCGAAGGCAGCCAUCUGGCCUAAUACUGACGCUGAGGUACGAAAGCAUGGGGAGCAAACAGGAUUAGAUACCCCAGUAGUCCCUGUCUCUUAUACA
rnacentral:rRNA from 1 species